AGCCACUGGAGGCUGAGCGCGCGCGUGGCUCCAUCUCACCCAGAGACUCAGAGCCCAGCCGGUUCGAUCAUCUCCUCAGCCCCGCCUUGAGGAGCAGGGAUUAAAGACUCUGACGGCCAGGGGACAGGCGAUGCUACUGAAGAAGAGGAAGCGCCCAGGUGCUGCAGCCGCUCGGAGGACUCCACUGCACUGGGAGAGGCCGUGAGACAGGAGGGUUGGUAGCACUGUCCUUCCAGCCAUGGAGCCAGGGCUGAGUGGGGCACCCAAUGGGUGCCGGACCAGCAGGACAAGCCCCAGGUGCCCGGGUCCCCCCCCACACAGCCAGGGCUGCUCAGGCAGAGGCCGCCCCGGAGCUGCCCCCCAGCAGGCCUAGGCAUCUACCACCAAGCGGGCUGUGGCCAGCACACGGCGGGCGGGCAGCGGGCAGGGGCACUCGGGAGUGUAAAUUCCACAUUUGCAUCUGGCCGUUCCCAGGCGAGGGCCACUGACCUUUCCAGCGCUGCCUCCGGCCUCCUCUCUCCCCGCCCUCCUGGCUCAGCCGGGCAGGGGCAGCCACAGACAGCUGGGGCCUGGGAGCGGGCUGGGGUGCACCCUGGCUCACCCCUCGGCCCUCGCUGUGCCCUGACCCAGCACCCAAGUCACAGCCUGACGCAGGGACAGCUGGGCCUGGAUUAGCAGCGUCACUGACACAUCGGCCGCCCCCACCCUCAGAGAUGCCUCCCCGGGGACGCCAUGUGGGUGCUGAGUGGCACUGUCACUGUCCCCACGCUGGGCU
rnacentral:lncRNA from 1 species